AGAGAUAAGUUAGAGGUGGCAAUAGUAUAGUUAAAAACCUAACUCUCCACUAAGAAUGCUGAGUAGGAGGUGUCAUAGAAUCAAUUUAGUAGCAGUGUACUAAAAGGGAUAUAAUUGAAACAGCCUUUUCUCAUUGCCCAAAUCAUUCCAUAUAUGUUUCCUUUGUUUUACUAUUGCCGAGUACAAUUAUCACCAAAUUUUGGUCCAAGUUUCUCUUCAUUCUCGGCUAAACCAAGGAGUGGAACAAGGAAUCUAAAGUAAACUGUAUUGGGGAGAUUCGGAUAGCAGGG
rnacentral:lncRNA from 1 species